rnacentral:rRNA from 1 species
AGUCGAGGGGCAGCAUUUUAGUUUGCUUGCAACUAAAGAUGGCGACCGGCGCACGGGUGAGUAACACGUAUCCAACCUGCCGAUAACUCGGGGAUAGCCUUUCGAAAGAAAGAUUAAUAUCCGAUAGUAUAUUAAAACCGCAUGGUUUUACUAUUAAAGAAUUUCGGUUAUCGAUGGGGAUGCGUUCCAUUAGUUUGUUGGCGGGGUAACGGCCCACCAAGACUACGAUGGAUAGGGGUUCUGAGAGGAAGGUCCCCCACAUUGGAACUGAGACACGGUCCAAACUCCUACGGGAGGCAGCAGUGAGGAAUAUUGGUCAAUGGACGAGAGUCUGAACCAGCCAAGUAGCGUGAAGGAUGACUGCCCUAUGGGUUGUAAACUUCUUUUAUAUGGGAAUAAAGUAUUCCACGUGUGGAAUUUUGUAUGUACCAUAUGAAUAAGGAUCGGCUGACUCCGUGCCAGCAGCCGCGGUAAUACGGAGGAUCCGAGCGUUAUCCGGAUUUAUUGGGUUUAAAGGGAGCGUAGGUGGAUUGUUAAGUCAGUUGUGAAAGUUUGCGGCUCAACCGUAAAAUUGCAGUUGAAACUGGCAGUCUUGAGUACAGUAGAGGUGGGCGGAAUUCGUGGUGUAGCGGUGAAAUGCUUAGAUAUCACGAAGAACUCCGAUUGCGAAGGCAGCUCACUAGACUGCAACUGACACUGAUGCUC